UACGUAGGGUGCGAGCGUUGUCCGGAAUUACUGGGCGUAAAGAGCUCGUAGGUGGUUUGUCGCGUUGUUCGUGAAAACUCACAGCUCAACUGUGGGCGUGCGGGCGAUACGGGCAGACUAGAGUACUGCAGGGGAGACUGGAAUUCCUGGUGUAGCGGUGAAAUGCGCAGAUAUCAGGAGGAACACCGGUGGCGAAGGCGGGUCUCUGGGCAGUAACUGACGCUGAGGAGCGAAAGCGUGGGGAGCGAACAGG
rnacentral:rRNA from 1 species